rnacentral:SRP_RNA from 1 species
GCCAGGUGUGGCGGUGCACACUUGUAAUCCUAGUUACUCUGGAGGCUGAGGCAUGAGAAUCGCUUGAACCCAGGAGGUCGGGGCUGCAAUGAGCCGAGACCGUGCCACUGCAUUCCAGCCUGGGCAACAGAGCAAGACUGUGUCUCAA